ensembl:lncRNA
GGACUAGAGGGAAUGGCUUCAAGCUGCGCCAGGGAAGAUUCAGGCUGGACUUUAGGAAAUACUACUUGUCUGAAAGGGUGGUCCGGCACUGGAAUGGGCUGCCCAGGGAGGUGGUGGAGUCAUCGACCCUGGUGGUGUUCAACGAGUGUUUGGAUGUUGUGUUGAGGGACAUGGUUUAGCGGGAACCAUUGGUGAAGGGCGAACGGUUGGACUGGAUGAUCCUGUGGGUCUCUUCCAGCCUUAGCGAUUCUAGGAUUCUAGGAAAGCUCGGAGAAGGCUGGAGAAAUCAAGGUUGCCUCUAAGGUGCUGCUUUCAAACAACAUGAGUUGUUGGGCAUGAGACGGGAAAGACAAGGUUCAGGUUCCAAAGGCUUCCAAUCCCCAUGGAUCUGGCUGUCUGCAAACACAACAGCUGCCUGCUUUCCAGCAGGGGGAUGCUCACCCAGCAAAGCACUCACCCAGCACAUGCCUUUCCUACAGUCACAGCAUCAGCAAGGUAGGAAAAGACCUCCGAAACCAUCCAGUCCAACCUACCACCAAUAUUUCCUUCCCACUAAGACACGUCCCUCAGUACAACAUCUAAUGUCUCUUGAACACCCACAGGGACAGUAACUCUAUCACCUCCCUGGGCAGCCCCUUCCAGCGUCUGACCACUCACUGGGAGAAGCUUUUCUUCACACCCAACCUCAAUCUCCCCUCAUGUAACUUGAGGCCAUUCCCUCUAGUCCUAGCACUAGUUCCGUGGGAGAAGAGGACCAUCCCCACCUCCACAUAACCUCUCGUCACAUAAUUGGACAGAGUCAGGUGGUCUUCCCUCAGCCUCCUCUUCUCCACACUAACGAAUCCCACUUCCCUCAGCCGCU